GUGCACGCUGGCGGUGGGCCUAACACAUGCAAGUCGAACGGCAGCACAGUAAGAGCUUGCUCUUACGGGUGGCGAGUGGCGGACGGGUGAGGAAUACAUCGGAAUCUACUUUUUCGUGGGGGAUAACGUAGGGAAACUUACGCUAAUACCGCAUACGACCUACGGGUGAAAGCAGGGGAUCUUCGGACCUUGCGCGAUUGAAUGAGCCGAUGUCGGAUUAGCUAGUUGGCGGGGUAAAGGCCCACCAAGGCGACGAUCCGUAGCUGGUCUGAGAGGAUGAUCAGCCACACUGGAACUGAGACGCGGUCCAGACUCCUACGGGAGGCAGCAGUGGGGAAUAUUGGACAAUGGGCGCAAGCCUGAUCCAGCCAUACCGCGUGGGUGAAGAAGGCCUUCGGGUUGUAAAGCCCUUUUGUUGGGAAAGAAAAGCAGCAGGUUAAUACCCCGCUGUUCUGACGGUACCCAAAGAAUAAGCACCGGCUAACUUCGUG
rnacentral:rRNA from 1 species